ensembl:lncRNA
AUCUCUAUCUGGAGAUCACUACUCUUGGAGCCCUUCUACAAGCACAGGAUAUGGAAAUGAGCAAAGUUAAGUCUGCAUGAAGCCUGCCGGAGUUCUGAACCUCAGUUACAUAAGGGUAGAGCAGACUGAUCUGGAAUCCAGGCUGACAACAAAAAGAAAUGAUAUUGGUUAAGAGCAGCUGGAUAACAGCAGAUCAGCAGUUUCUCUCUGUCAUUUUUUCUGAUCAAGUCUGAUGAAGUAGGAAAAUGUUCAAAAUGAGGAUGAGGAAAAUGUAGAGACAAAAUGUAUACUGACCUUUAGUGGAUGCAGCUGGCAUUUCUAGGCAAACUAAGCCACAGUAGGUGGGAAGCCACAGAUAUUCAAUGUACUCUUCCUGAGCUGUGUGAGACACUUCUAUGGAUAAAGACUUUAGGGAUGAGGAAUUUUCUAAAUGGGUAUGAUUGGACUGAAUCAGUGCUACGUCUGAUCCAGACUCAGAGUGGAAUACAGGACUUUCAGUGGUUAUUAAUUCAAACUCAGCAGGCCUCUGAAUCAGACAAAGUGUUUAAUGUAUGUUUUACAGCACCACUUCUGUUAAGCUAUUAAUUGAACUAUUUGUAGAAUCUAUGCAGAAUAAAACUUGGGACUGAUGAUGAAUGGUCUCAUUGUACUAGGUUAUUAUGAUCCUAAGUAAUUUUGUUGGUUAGUACUUUUCAUUUUACACCUGAAAUCAAAUAAAAGUGAUGAAUUGCAGAGAAAUGGAAAAAGUAUAAUUGGCAGAAUAGGUUAUUACACU